AACGUAGGAGACAAACGUUAUCCGGAGUUACUGGGCGUAAAGGGCGUGUAGGUGGUUGUGUAAGUCUGGCGUGAAAUUUUUCGGCUUAACCGGGAAAGGUCGUCGGAUACUGCAAAACUAGAGGACGGUAGAGGCGUGUGGAAUUCCGGGUGUAGUGGUGAAAUGCGUAGAGAUCCGGAGGAACACCAGUGGCGAAGGCGACACGCUGGGCCGUACCUGACGCUCAGGUGCGAAAGCCAGGGGAGCGAACGGG
rnacentral:rRNA from 1 species